AACGCAUAUUGCGCUCUCUGGCAUUCCGGGGAGCAUGCCUGUUUCAGCAUCAUUUGAACAUCUCAAAAUCGUUCUUUUUUUUGGAUGGUUUUGGAAGUUGGGCUUUCUAGUGUUGUGUUCACAACUGGCCUGAAAUAUGUUGAUAAAUCAAUGCAAGAAUCACGUGUAGAUGCCUGACAGUGAAAGACGAAAAGCUUAUUAGUUGACUCCGGUCAAACUUGCUGACUAGUCCUUUUAAACUGAAGAGCAUACCUACAUUCACAAUUUGAUCUGAAAUCAGGUAGGAUUACCCGCUGAACUUAA
rnacentral:misc_RNA from 1 species